GACGAACGCUGGCGGCGUGCUUAACACAUGCAAGUCGAACGGAAAGGCCCUGCUUUUGUGGGGUGCUCGAGUGGCGAGCGGGUGAAUAACACGUGUGUACCGUGCCCUUGACUUUGGGAUAACUUCAGGACACUGGGGCUAAUACCGGAUAGGCGCUCCUGCUGGUUGUUGGGGGAUGGAAAUUUUCGGCGGUUGGGGAUGGACUCGCGGCUUAUCAGCUUGUUGGUGGGGUAGUGGCUUACCAAGGCUUUGACGGGUAGCCGGCCGGAGAGGGUGACCGGCACCAUUGGGACUGAGAUACGGCCCAGACUCCUACGGGAGGCAGCAGUGGGGAAUAUUGCACAAUGGGCGGAAGCCCGAUGCAGCAACGCCGCGUGCGGGAUGACGGCCUUCGGGUUGUAAACCGUUUUCGCCUGUGACGAAGCGUGAGUGACGGUAAUGGGUAAAGAAGCACCGGCUAACUACGUG
rnacentral:rRNA from 1 species